UUCACUGCUCUGUCGCUCUGAGCCGCUGCAGGUCAAUCUGCACGCUCGAUCACUUGGAGAGGUGACCUGCCUAAUUGGGCCCCAGGCAAUUGCAAGAACUCCAGCGGUGGGGGGGAGGAGCUAUAAAACCCGGAGGUCUGGAUGUGGCUCUGUCACUGCAAGAUGGCGAGGGAGAAGUCAUGACUCUCAGAGCUGUGAAUCUACAGAACACUUUGUGUCAACUGACCUCAAAGAGUUAUCAAGAGGCAAUGAUCAGCAGAACACAACAAGAGACACUCAAGAAAUAACUUAAUAAAGCUCAUCUUUAACGUUUAAAUUGUUGUUAUAUUUUAAGAGUCAUUCACAUUUUAAGCUUUAAUAAAUCCUUUUUCCACUUGC